UAACUAUAUAAUUUGUUAUUUUUCAGCGAGACAUUGCUUUAAUCUUCAUAUGCUUGAACACACAGUGGUAGCCGGUGAGCAAACCUACGUAUAGAUGCAUUUUUUACAGUCUAAAUAUUUUUAGGCAGAACUUAUAAUAAAACUGGAGGAAGUAAAAAUAUGAAUAGCAACAACAGUGUGAGGAACCAAAACUAUGAAUCCGAGUUUGACAAAAACCAACGCAACAAGCAUUUUUUAUAAAUAUUUCAGCGACUCAACUUAAAAUUUAUUUUAUGAGCGGGUAGGUAUAUAAAAUUGUGUAAAUUGUGGUUCUACCAUCUUUGAAGCUCAAUCAGCAAAUUUAAAAUUGUUCAAUUAUUUUAAGUAGAUAACUCAAUUGAGUAUUAAAAGACAAUAAUAGUUACAUACAAUACAAAUUAGAUAGUAACACAAUAAAAUAAACAGGAAUGUGUUAAGCAAUUUUAAAAGUUAUGUUUAUAAAAUUGUAUUGUAUAUAAGUGCCUCCAAGUGAAAAAUCUAUGUAUCGAUUGUAAAAAAUUAGCGGACUAUACCAAUAUGUAUUUAUCUACAUAUAUAGCUAAUGUAAUCUGUGUAAACAAUACCGAAUAAAAAAAAACAAAUUACCUAUUUUUCAACACAAUAAAGUUCAUAUGUAUGCUUCGUCUUUUGUAUACACUAACUUGUCAAA